UCACAAGCUCUCCCGACACUUCUGUCCAUAGGAUGGAAGUCGUCACAUCACAAGGUUCUAACAGCGAACCAGACUCUGGUAAUGAGUCAGAUUCCAAUGGUGAAUCCACGCGAUCUGCGCUUCGGCCAGAGCUCCGAUUCGGAUAACGAAUCCACGCAUUCUGUUGCUUCGGCCAGAAUCAGAUUCCAAAGGUGAAUCCACGCAUUCUGUCGCUUCGGCCAGAAUCAGACUCUAAUACUGAGUCGGCACUUCUGUUGCUUCGGCCAGAAGCUGUCACAUUUUUUGAGCAUGAUAGAUCUGUCGCUCCGGACAGAUCAAUCAAGGAUGAGGAGCAGCGUGAGAGGCAGCUCCGCACGGCCAGGUCAGUAGAUCAAUUAAUAUAUCCUUUAGACUGAUAUAGUUGUUUUGCAGGUUGUUUUUUGUUUUGCAGGCACGAUUCUGUUGCUUCGGCCAGAAUCCACGCAUUCUGUUGCUUCGGCCAGAAUCCACGCAUUCUGUGUUGUCGCUUUGGCUUCAAUGGUUCUUCAAACAUUUGGAGAUCAUUUUUGUCAUUUGACCUUAAUGAUCUCGACCCAUCUUGCGCCUCGGCCUAUGGGGUAACCGUCGUUGCGGACAAAAAGUCGCCCUUGAUCAGGGUAGACUAUAAACACCCGAUUCGGAUAACGAAUCCACGCAUUCUGUUGCUUCGGCCAGAAUCAGAUUCCAAUGGUGAAUCCACUCGAUCUGCGCUUCGGCCAGAACCCGAUUCGGAUAACGAAUCCACGCAUUCUGUCGCUUCGGCCAGAAUCAGAUUCCAAAAGUGAAUCCACGCGAUCUGUUGCUUCGGCAAAGAUCCACACAGCAAAAGUCGCUCUUGAUCAGAGUAAGACUAUAAACAUGUAGUUCCGUUGGCCUGGAACUAGAUUCUGAUAAUGAAUCAGUCCAUCUGAUAAUGCAUGGACCACGCGGAGUCAUUAGUGUCGCUGUGGGCACAAUGACUAGAUUCCGAUGGUGAAUCAGUCCAUCUGAUAUGGACCACACGUACUAUCUUGCUCGGGGGGUGGGAGACUGAGGCUACACG
rnacentral:lncRNA from 1 species